rnacentral:rRNA from 1 species
CUACGGGACGCUGCAGUGGGGAAUAUUGCACAAUGGGCGCAAGCCUGAUGCAGCCAUGCCGCGUGUAUGAAGAAGGCCUUCGGGUUGUAAAGUACUUUCAGCGGGGAGGAAGGGAGUAAAGUUAAUACCUUUGCUCAUUGACGUUACCCGCAGAAGAAGCACCGGCUAACUCCGUGCCAGCAGCCGCAGGUAAUACGGAGGGUGCAAGCGUUAAUCGGAAUUACUGGGCGUAAAGCGCACGCAGGCGGUUUGUUAAGUCAGAUGUGAAAUCCCCGGGCUCAACCUGGGAACUGCAUCUGAUACUGGCAAGCUUGAGUCUCGUAGAGGGGGGUAGAAUUCCAGGUGUAGCGGUGAAAUGCGUAGAGAUCUGGAGGAAUACCGGUGGCGAAGGCGGCCCCCUGGACGAAGACUGACGCUCAGGUGCGAAAGCGUGGGGGGCAAACAGGAUUAGAUACCCGUGUAGUC